CAAAAGUUAAUAUCCAUAAGUCCAAAUUUAUGCAUGGUGCAUAAAUCAUUUCCAACCAUUAGAUGGGUCUUAUACAUGUAAUAAUCCUAGUCACUCUUCAAGGGAGAGGUAAUCAUGCGUGUUCUCCUUUUCUUCAACCUUUCUCUCUCGCGUUCGCUCCUCCGUUCUCUCCCAUGCUCAUCAGAAUCCUCCUCAUCAGAAUCAGUUUCAACAUCAUCCUCAUUGUCACCUUCACUCUCUUCAUCUUGUUGAACGGAAUCAACUUUUCUUCCACCGGCGCAUCUUUCACACAACGAAAGCGCGUUACCGAGUCUAGCACCGGAAGCUUUCCACGGCGUGGGAGAUUGACAAGCGUGACAGAGGAGAGUUCUUGUGUGUCUCUCACUUAUGAUGCUGAGAAAAUAGGACUGGACUCGAUGGAUGUUGAAGCUUUGAAGAAGCUCAACAAAAAUAAGAAACUAGUGAAGAAAUUGGCUAAGAAGUACCAUUCAUUUUUAGCUUCAGAAGUUGUUAUCAAGCAAAUUCCGCGUCUUUUGGGUCCUGGACUCAACAAGGCAGUUACCAUUAGAUCAAGGAGGAGGUGAGGGUAAAGCUAUGGACAUAGAAGCUAAGGGAACAUUUAGGCCUCAGCGACUCUUACAGAUUGCAGACAGGUUUGAACUGAAUGGUGCUGAUGUAUUGAAAAAAAAGACCCACUUACUGAACUUUUUGCAGACUACUACUUAUGAUAUCUUUGAAGAGUCUUGGUUUUUCUUCUUCAGCUCAAGUCAAACUGUAUAGAUCAUACUGGUUCAAUAAGAUAGGGGUGAUGGUAGUGCUUGGUUAUUGAUCACAUUUGUUCUAUAGUUUAAGGCGAAAAUGGAAAUGCAUUUGUGAAUAAGUGUGUACUAUAGGUUGUGAAUAAUGGUUUGAAUAUUCAGGAUUUAAAAAAUCUAUUUUACUCUCAUAGUCAA